rnacentral:lncRNA from 1 species
CCAUCUCUGUUUUUGAAGCUUUCUCUUCUUCCCUCCCUCCUUUGAUUCAAUUCUCAGAACAAAGACAUGGUUCACUACCACAGGUACCAUCAACCCAGAAAAGCUUCAGACCCCAUUAUCACAAAAGAUGAAGAAUCACAACAGAACCUUCUCAUGGAUUGUUCAACCUCUUCUUACUACAAGAGAACAAGGCCCAAGUUGCUCUCUUUCCUCUUCCUCAUCACUUUCCUCUCUUGCUGCUAUGUCCUUGCACCACUCUUCCUUCCCCCUUCUUUCACCUUCUCUCUCCUCUGUAAGCAACUCCUCUUUUCACUCUCAUACACUUGUGCUUUCUUAUUACAACGUGGGACUUCGUUUUUGACAUCUUUUAUGUUGUUCUUUUGGUUUGCUUUGGUUUUCAGACUCUCCUGCAACUGAAAAUGAUGCUCUUGUUGUAAAUGAUUCUGUGUGCUCUUCAGUUUCAAGCGGUAAUUCUUCUUAUUACCCCCUUUUCUUCUUUUUCAAUUUUCAGUUUCCAUGUUUUUUUUCUUUCUUUUUAGAAACAUAUUGCAUGACUAUAAAUGAAAAGGGGUUUGAUAUCAUAGCUUUAUGCAUUUUAUAACCUGGGAAAGUAAUGAUUUUUAUGUGUUUUAACCGCACAAAUUUUUGUGAUUGUUAUCAAACAUGAUGAUGAACAGUUAAAGUUUAAUUUGGUGUUUUCAUUUAUGCAGGAACUAUAUGCUGUGAUAGAACUGGUUAUAGGUCUGAUAUAUGUUUGAUGAAAGGGGACAUUAGAACACACUCUCCUUCCUCUUCAAUCUUCCUCUACAACUCAGGAAUCAUCAACAAUGUUUCAAGGAAUGUUGGAGCUGAAGAAGGCAAAGGGGAUUGGAUACUUCAGCACGAAAGGAUUAGGCCUUAUACUCGAAAAUGGGAGAAGAGUGUAAUGGAGACCAUUGACGAGCUAAACCUCAUCUCAAAGAGAGUGAAUUUUGGUAAUUCAGGCCAUGGUUGUGAUGUCAAACAUGAUGUCCCGGCCGUGUUCUAGAGUGAAUUUUGGUAAUUCAGGCCAUGGUUGUGAUGUCAAACAUGAUGUCCCGGCCGUGUUCUUCUCAAAUGGGGGCUAUACCGGCAAUGUGUACCACGAAUUCAACGAUGGAAUCAUUCCUUUGUACAUUACCUCCCAGCAUUUCAACAAGAAGGUUGUGUUUGUGAUCCUUGAAUAUCACAAUUGGUGGAUCACCAAGUACGGAGACAUUCUUUCUCACCUUUCGGAUUAUCCGGCCAUCGAUUUUAGAGGAGACAACAGGACUCAUUGCUUCCCUGAAGCCAUUGUUGGCCUUAGAAUCCAUGAUGAGCUCACGGUGGAUUCGGCUUUGAUGCAAAGGAACAAGAGCAUUGUUGACUUUAGAAACCUUCUCGAUAAGGCCUAUUGGCCGCGGAUUCAUGGAUUGAUUCAAGAUGAAGAAAGGGAAGCACAAGAAAAGUUAAGAAAACAAAUGUCUUCAUCCCCAUCAUCAGAAUCGGAACCAGAAUCAGAAUCUCCACAGAAACAAGAGUACAUAAUUAAGCAAAAAGUACAAGAGAAUCCUUUGAAGAAACCCAAGUUGGUUAUUCUCUCUAGAGACAAAUCAAGAGAAGUAACAAAUGAAAAUUCUAUGGUUAAAAUGGCUGAGGAAAUCGGCUUUGAAGUCGAAGUCUUGAAGCCAGACAGAACAACAGAAUUGGCCAAGAUUUAUAGGUCACUGAAUGCAAGUGAUGUGAUGAUCGGCGUCCACGGCGCAGCAAUGACACAUUUCUUGUUCUUGAGGCCUGGCUCAGUGUUCAUUCAAGUUGUUCCUUUGGCACAACUUUGCAGAAACAUAUUAUGGUGAACCUGCAAGAAAACUUGGUUUGAAGUACAUUGGCUAUGAAAUUCAGAUUAGAGAGAGUUCUUUGUAUGAGAAAUAUGAUAAGAAUGAUCCUGUUCUAAGGGACCCCCAAAGCAUCACAAAGAAAGGUUGGGAAUUCACAAAGAAGAUUUAUCUUGAUAGCCAAAAUGUUGUGUUUGGUCUCAGAGGAUUUAGAAAAAGGUUGCAGCAUGCUCAAUAAUAAUUUUUUUUCAAUUUGUUCUUUUGUUUCAUUUUACUUCUCUAUGUUCAUUCUUUGAAAUGUAGAAAGAAAGAAAGAUUACAUUUUUUUUAGUAUUGAGCAUAUUAUACAGCAAAAUACUUAAAAAUGAAUUAUAGAAUGUGUAAGUAUAAGAGCAACAACUUUCCAUUUUGGUAUUAAUAAAUUAAGGAUUUAAUUUGUAAAUUUAAUUCUGAUACAUAAUACAUGUAUCUAAUUAAGUAACACCACAUAGUAAAAAUAACUACCUUUUACACUAAUCGAGUGAAUAGUUAUCUAAAAAAACAUAUGAUUGUACGAAACAUGUACUCUUAAUUUAAAUUUAUUGAUGAGUUUUAGUAUCUUACACAAAUAUUUGACUUAACUGUUCAAUAUUUUUUAAGUUGGUACAAUAAAAUUCAGUUUUUAUUCAGCCUUUAAAUUUAAUAUUUUAUUAUUUUAAUUUUUUAAUUAAUCAUAUUUUCUAUUUUUAAGAAAUCACUUUUAUUUUUAAUAUUUAUCACUAUAAAAUUUGUAACCAUUUGCAAUACAUUAAUUUUUUGCAAACAAACCAUAAAAGUAAUAAAACUUGUAACAACUUUUUGUGUACUAAUUUUUAAAAAAUCAUUAAAGUUUUCAAAAUUAAUUAAACUCACUUCAAUUAUUUUUUUAUUCAAAACAUUUAAAACUCAUGUCAAAAAGACAAAAACACAUCUAAAAUUAAAUAAACAUAAUCACAUUUAAAAUUAUGUAUUAACAUAUCUAAAUUAUUGUCAUUAUAGUUCUAAAUUAUAUAUUGAACACAGAAAAAAAUUAAAUUCAAAUACACAUUCAAAAUUAUAAGAAUGCAUUCUAAAUAUUUUAUCAACACAUCCAAAACUCAUGUAAAAAAAUUUAUAUAUGUACAUAAGAACAUAAUUAACAAUAUAAACACAUCCAAAAUUAAGUAUUGACACAUUUAAAUUAGGUUAAUAUUACAACUCCCAAAUCAAACAUAUGAGUGCAAAAAAACUCCCUACUUUGUCUGGAGUGCACUAGCUUUCGCCUUCCCGAAGCAAAUGAAACAUCAGAGUCAUUUUCUUUGCCACCUUCGAAGGAGCCUUCAUUCCACGCUUUCUCCUAUUCUUUCCUUUGAUUUCUCUUCCUUCUUCUUCUUCUUCUUCUUCUUAUUCAUUUCCAUCAACAAAAAGAAACUCUCACAACAAAAAGCAGAGCCAUCUCUGUUUUUGAAGCUUUCUCUUCUUCCCUCCCUCCUUUGAUUCAAUUCUCAGAACAAAGACAUGGUUCACUACCACAGGUACCAUCAACCCAGAAAAGCUUCAGACCCCAUUAUCACAAAAGAUGAAGAAUCACAACAGAACCUUCUCAUGGAUUGUUCAACCUCUUCUUACUACAAGAGAACAAGGCCCAAGUUGCUCUCUUUCCUCUUCCUCAUCACUUUCCUCUCUUGCUGCUAUGUCCUUGCACCACUCUUCCUUCCCCCUUCUUUCACCUUCUCUCUCCUC